GAGGGUGUAGCUCAGUGGCAGAGCACAUGCCUAACACGCACAAGGUCCUGGGUUCAAUCCCCAGUACCUCCG
rnacentral:tRNA from 1 species